rnacentral:rRNA from 1 species
AGAGGGGGCAAGCGUUGUUCGGAAUUACUGGGCGUAAAGGGCGCGUAGGCGGCCUGCUAAGUCGAACGUGAAAUCCCUGGGCUCAACCCAGGAACUGCGUCCGAGACUGGUUGGCUCGAAUCCGGGAGAGGGAUGUGGAAUUCCAGGUGUAGCGGUGAAAUGCGUAGAUAUCUGGAGGAACACCGGUGGCGAAGGCGGCAUCCUGGACCGGCAUUGACGCUGAGGCGCGAAAGCCAGGGGAGCAAACGGGAUUAGAUACCCCGGUAGUCCUGGCCCUAAACGAUGAAUGCUUGGUGUGGCGGGUAUCGAUCCCUGCCGUGCCGAAGCUAACGCAUUAAGCAUUCCGCCUGGGGAGUACGGUCGCAAGGCUGAA